GUGCCAGCCGCCGCGGUAAUACCGGCAGCCCGAGUGAUGACCGAUCUUAUUGGGCCUAAAGCGUCCGUAGCUGGCUACGCAAGUCCGUCGGGAAAUCCACUCGCCCAACGAGUGGGCGUCCGACGGAAACUGCAUAGCUUGGGACCGGAAGGCUCGAAGGGUACGUGCGGGGUAGGAGUGAAAUCCCAUAAUCCCGCACGGACCACCGAUGGCGAAAGCACCUCGAGAGGACGGACCCGACAGUGAGGGACGAAAGCCAGGGUCUCGAACCGGAUUAGAUACCCUAGUAGUCC
rnacentral:rRNA from 1 species